AUCAGAAGGGGAUAACACUUGGAAACAGGUGCUAAUACCGUAUAACAAUCGAAACCGCAUGGUUUUGAUUUGAAAGGCGCUUUCGGGUGUCGCUGAUGGAUGGACCCGCGGUGCAUUAGCUAGUUGGUGAGGUAACGGCUCACCAAGGCUACGAUGCAUAGCCGACCUGAGAGGGUGAUCGGCCACAUUGGGACUGAGACACGGCCCAAACUCCUACGGGAGGCAGCAGUAGGGAAUCUUCGGCAAUGGACGAAAGUCUGACCGAGCAACGCCGCGUGAGUGAAGAAGGUUUUCGGAUCGUAAAACUCUGUUGUUAGAGAAGAACAAGGAUGAGAGUAACUGUUCAUCCCUUGACGGUAUCUAACCAGAAAGCCACGGCUAACUACGUGCCAGCAGCCGCGGUAAUACGUAGGUGGCAAGCGUUGUCCGGAUUUAUUGGGCGUAAAGCGAGCGCAGGCGGUUUCUUAAGUCUGAUGUGAAAGCCCCCGGCUCAACCGGGGAGGGUCAUUGGAAACUGGGAGACUUGAGUGCAGAAGAGGAGAGUGGAAUUCCAUGUGUAGCGGUGAAAUGCGUAGAUAUAUGGAGGAACACCAGUGGCGAAGGCGGCUCUCUGGUCUGUAACUGACGCUGAGGCUCGAAAGCGUGGGGAGCAAACAGGAUUAGAUACCCUGGUAGUCCACGCCGUAAACGAUGAGUGCUAAGUGUUGGAGGGUUUCCGCCCUUCAGUGCUGCAGCUAACGCAUUAAGCACUCCGCCUGGGGAGUACGACCGCAAGGUUGAAACUCAAAGGAAUUGACGGGGGCCCGCACAAGCGGUGGAGCAUGUGGUUUAAUUCGAAGCAACGCGAAGAACCUUACCAGGUCUUGACAUCCUUUGACCACUCUAGAGAUAGAGCUUCCCCUUCGGGGGCAAAGUGACAGGUGGUGCAUGGUUGUCGUCAGCUCGUGUCGUGAGAUGUUGGGUUAAGUCCCGCAACGAGCGCAACCCUUAUUGUUAGUUGCCAUCAUUCAGUUGGGCACUCUAGCAAGACUGCCGGUGACAAACCGGAGGAAGGUGGGGAUGACGUCAAAUCAUCAUGCCCCUUAUGACCUGGGCUACACACGUGCUACAAUGGGAAGUACAACGAGUCGCGAAGUCGCGAGGCUAAGCUAAUCUCUUAAAGCUUCUCUCAGUUCGGAUUGUAGGCUGCAACUCGCCUACAUGAAGCCGGAAUCGCUAGUAAUCGCGGAUCAGCACGCCGCGGUGAAUACGUUCCCGGGCCUUGUACACACCGCCCGUC
rnacentral:rRNA from 1 species